rnacentral:lncRNA from 1 species
GGGGUGGGGAUCUCGACUGUUUCCAAGUUCUAAAACAGGAGGGGGUGAGGUGACUAAAGGGACACCACCUAUAUAUCAUAUGAUUUGCUUACAUUCAGGUAUCAUUUAAUCUAGUUGCACUAUUUGUAAAAAUAAAGUAAGAAACUUCCAGCUAUUUUUACUGACCCAUCAAAAUUGAGAAAAAAAUACCCAAUGAAACUGCAGUAAUAUUUUCACACUUUAAAAGCAUCCAACAUGCAUUACCAACAUUUAUCACUGAUAAAGAAAAUUUAUACUGUCACCAGGAACAUAUAUAUUGUUAGAUAUACUGUUCCCAGCUGUCACAUUGUAUUGGAUUUUGAACAUUAAAAUUUGUCAAAAAUUUUGAGUUUCUGUACAAAAUAUUUACUGCUUUUUCUUUCUUUUACAUAUAUCUUUAGUUUUCCAAUUCUAGUGUUUAUACAUACAGUACAGCCUGUGACAUUCUCUUAAUUAUGUCCACCCUCUUGCAUGGUCAACAUUCAAGGGUGGCCAUUUAUUGGGGUAUUCAAUCUUGAGAUGAUGUUGUGAUGUUGGCCAUUUAUUGGGGUAUAAAACAUAGGUUGAUGUUUUAUCUAAUAAUGUUACCUGUUGUAAUCAAUCAGGGUUGAAGUUUUCAAUUUGUAUGUUUCUUUAAAAUUUACCUGUACAGGUAACUUAGGUUUCUUUCAAAAUUGAAAUUUCAUCUUGUUUUGAAAAUGUAGAAUAAGAC